GGAAAGUUGCAAAGUACUUUGAAGAGAGAGUUCAAGAGGACGUGAAACCGAUUGGAUGGAAGCAGAUGAAGUUGACGAACGUGCGUUGUAUUCAGAGUUGCAUUUAUGUGUAAUUUGUUAUUGCGGCCAAUGUGGUCUGACGCAUUCGGUUAAUGAGAUGUGCUUAGCAAUGAUGGCGGCCCUGUAGAGGGAUUACCAAUCAGUGUACGGUGCUCGGUAUAGCUGGAUGUUUUUGUCGGUCUGAAAGUCAGUGCCUCAUCUGACCCGUCUUGAAACACGGACCAAGGAGUGUAGCGUUUACGCAAGUCUUAGAUUGUGUCAAAACUUUGAGGCGUAACGAAAGUAAAGAUAGCUUCGGAUUAUUAACAUGGGAUGCGUUGUUUCGUGUAAACGGCGUCGGACCAUGGUUCUGUCGUGAUUGCUUGCAAUGCGGCGGAAAAAGAGCGUAAACGGUGCGACCCGAAA
rnacentral:rRNA from 1 species